GCCCCCGUAGCCCAACUGGCAGAGGCGGUCGCCUUAAAAGCGAUGUGUUGCGGGUUCGAAUCCCGCCGGGGGCA
rnacentral:tRNA from 1 species